GUGUGAACAUUCGGAUCACCAACGCUGUGACCUCGCUGUAUGAACGAGAGCUUCAACAGGAAGGAAGCUUACAAAUGAGCUGCAUGGAUCCCACAUUUUGCUAAAAUCAAAUAGGACCUUUCCUCUUUGUUGAAUGCCGUAAUACACAAGAAAUAAGCCAGCAGGAUAUGCAUGUCCAAGGUCUCCUGUUAUCUGCCACUUGAGUUGGCACAAAACAACUUCUUGGGAUCAUAUGUUCUGAGCAAUGAUUCAAGUCUUAGCAAAUUUCAGGAACAAUCUAAAGAGGAAAUAAAUAGCCUUUUGUUUAAGUUGGAUCAAUUUCUCCUUUUGCUCCUGCUUCAUACCAGGUACUCUCCAUUGUGCCUGGGAAAUAUGAAUCCUUGCCAUCAUGAAAACAACAUUGGCCAUGAGGAUUGUCCCUAAAACCCAAGGACUAUUUGAAGUUUGAAGUCUUUCAGCCCGGACAACAAUGGCUAUUUUCACUUUUGCCUUCAACUUUAAAAGCUGGGCUCUCUCUGCAGGAGUGGGAUCAGGCCGAACAGAGAUGCCACACAUACCUUUUGCUAUUGGCUGCUAUUCAGAGCAAAACCACAAAGCAUAGAAAUUGCAGGUUCGUUCAUUCUUCAGUGCUUAACAAUCUCCCAAGGAAGGCAGAUGCAUUUUCCAAGAUAGCAGUUUCAUCAAAGAACAGCCGAUAAUGAGAGAUAAAGAGCUGCCUGGCGGCUUGAGCUUACGUCUGUUUCAAGGAUUUACUGAAUACUAAUAGAACAUGGCUUUUGUUGGAGAAGAAGCCUUUGCAGUCAGUGAUUGCCUUGUGUCAUUAAACCUAGCCACCAACUGGUUUGCCCCACAGGAUCUAUAGUAGUUUACCAAGUCAGGGAAAAAAUAUUAAUUAGAUUUUUUUUAAUUUAAAAAGAAGAUGGACUUUAUGUGUUUGUUCAUUCAAUAGUGAAAAGAUUUGUGUAUGUGGUGAGUGAUUUCCGUUUCAUUACUACAGAGUGGCACAUGGUACAUGUAGGAGGCAGAAUGAAGUGACCUGGUAUCGCAUCCCACUGAAGGGAGUUUGAAACCCCACCUGGCUUUAUAAGCAUAUUCUAUUGGCCCAUCCUGUUCAUAUACCCCCUGAACUACACAAUUAUGCUUUUCAUUACAUAUUAUCUUACGUUUUUCUUUAUUUGUGUACAUCACUUUUGCUUCCCAAGGUAUAAUAUACAUUUCACAAGAUCAUAGUCCUAGCACUUCUUUUACUCUUCCAUGUUGUUAUUAGGAAAAACUGGGCACAUGUCAUAGGUUGAAAAUACAUGUUGAUUGAGUGUCAGAUUGCGGGUUCAGAACAUGAUGGAAAGAAAGGAGAAGGCUUUGGCAGAUUCCAGAAGAAGCUGAGUUUUUAAAGGAGUAAAUGGUAACAUAUGAAAAAUUUGACCUAAGUGAUGAAAAAAAUAAAACUCCAUUAAGGUGCCUUGUUCCAGCUUUCUCCUAAGACAAGACCUUCAACACAGAAAUGGACAAUUUUGAAUGAUGAAGAGAAGUAUUUUGCUAUGCCAAAAUGGAUGUAAUCUCAAACCAUAUUUGAUUUCCUCAUGAUAUGAUAGAUUAGGGGGAUGUAAAACCAGAUUAAAAAUCUGAGUUCUUUGGAUAUUUGAUAUUCAGGUUUUCCUCUCACUUCUCUCUGUUAUUCAUCUCCAUGAUUUUUGGCCCAAUAAAGGCUU